GGGGAAUCUUGAGUGAGGGCUCUGGGUCCAACCUCCCACCCGUGUUUAUUGUACCUUGUUGCUUCGGUGAGCCCGCCUCACGGCCGCCGGGGGGCUUCUGCCCCCGGGCCCGCGCCCACCGAAGACACCAUUGAACUCUGUCUGAAGAUUGCAGUCUGAGCAUAAACUAAAUAAGUUAAAACUUUCAACAACGGAUCUCUUGGUUCCGGCAUCGAUGAAGAACGCAGCGAAAUGCGAUAACUAAUGUGAAUUGCAGAAUUCAGUGAAUCAUCGAGUCUUUGAACGCACAUUGCGCCCCCUGGUAUUCCGGGGGGCAUGCCUGUCCGAGCGUCAUUGCUGCCCUCAAGCACGGCUUGUGUGUUGGGCUCCGUCCCCCCGGGGACGGGCCCGAAAGGCAGCGGCGGCACCGAGUCCGGUCCUCGAGCGUAUGGGGCUUUGUCACCCGCUCUGUAGGCCCGGCCGGCGCCAGCCGACAACCCAUCAUCCUUUUCAGGUUGACCUCGGAUCAGGUAGGGAUACCCGCUGAACUUAAGCAUAUCAAUAGGCCGGGAGGAA
rnacentral:rRNA from 1 species